UACGAAGGGGGGCUAGCGUUGCUCGGAAUUACUGGGCGUAAAGGGCGCGUAGGCGGCACUGUUAGUCAGGCGUGAAAUUCCUGGGCUCAACCUGGGGACUGCGCUUGAUACGGCAGAGCUAGAGGAUGGAAGAGGCUCGCGGAAUUCCCAGUGUAGAGGUGAAAUUCGUAGAUAUUGGGAAGAACACCGGUGGCGAAGGCGGCGAGCUGGUCCAUUACUGACGCUGAGGCGCGACAGCGUGGGGAGCAAACAGGG
rnacentral:rRNA from 1 species